rnacentral:misc_RNA from 1 species
CCAAUAGCGUAUAUUAAAGUUGUUGCAGUUAAAAAGCUCGUAGUUGAAUUUCGGGAUCAAUAUAUCGGUCGUGCCAUUGGUACGUACUGGUAUCAUUGGUUUCUCCUUUCUGACGAACCAUGAUGUCAUUAAUUUGGUGUUAUGGGAAGUUAGGACUGUUACUUUGAAAAAAUUAGAGUGUUUAAAGCAGGCUUUAGCUUGAAUACAUUAGCAUGGAAUAAUGAAAUAGGACGUUCGAACCUAUUUUGUUGGUUUCUAGGAUCAACGUAAUGAUUAAUAGGGAUAGUUGGGGGCAUUAGUAUUCAAUUGUCAGAGGUGAAAUUCUUGGAUUUAUUGAAGACUAACUACUGCGAAAGCAUUUGCCAAGGAUGUUUUCAUUAAUCAAGAACGAAAGUUAGGGGAUCGAAGACGAUCAGAUACCGUCGUAGUCUUAACCAUAAACUAUGUCGACUAGCGAUCCGCGGCCGUUGUUCAUAUGACUUCGCGGGCAGCCUUCG